ACGGUGAAAUGCUUAGAUAUCACGAAGAACUCCGAUUGCGAAGGCAGCACACUAAGCCGUAACUGACGUUCAUGCUCGAAAGUGUGGGUAUCAAACAGGAUUAGAUACCCUGGUAGUCCACACGGUAAACGAUGGAUACUCGCUGUUGGCGAUAUACGGUCAGCGGCUUAGCGAAAGCGUUAAGUAUCCCACCUGGGGAGUACGCCGGCAACGGUGAAACUCAAAGGAAUUGACGGGGGCCCGCACAAGCGGAGGAACAUGUGGUUUAAUUCGAUGAUACGCGAGGAACCUUACCCGGGCUUAAAUUGCAAAGGAAUUGCGUGGAAACAUGCAAGUCUUCGGACCUUUGUGAAGGUGCUGCAUGGUUGUCGUCAGCUCGUGCCGUGAGGUGUCGGCUUAAGUGCCAUAACGAGCGCAACCCUCGCCGCCAGUUACUAACAGUUAAAGCUGAGGACUCUGGCGGGACUGCCAUCGUAAGAUGUGAGGAAGGUGGGGAUGACGUCAAAUCAGCACGGCCCUUACGUCCGGGGCUACACACGUGUUACAAUGGGCGGUACAGAAGGCAGCUACCUGGCGACAGGAUGCCAAUCCCGAAAGCCGCUCUCAGCUCGGACUGGAGUCUGCAACCCGACUCCACGAAGCUGGAUUCGCUAGUAAUCGCGCAUCAGCCACGGCGCGGUGAAUACGUUCCCGGGCCUUGUACACACCGCCCGUCAAGCCAUGAAAGCCGGGGGUACCUGAAGUGCGUAACCGCAAGGAGCGCCCUAGGGUAAAACCGGUAAUUGGGGCUAAGUCGUAACAAGGUA
rnacentral:rRNA from 1 species